AGAUCAUUUUCACACAACAAUUUAGUUUUGCUACUUUAAUUAACUUUAAUCAAAAACCGAAGUUCCAGCUUCAUACCAAAAUCUUAUCUCAGAUUGAAAUCGCUUCAACAAAUCAUAAGCCAAAAUCCUUCCAGAUUGAAAUCGCCUCAUCAAAUCAUAGCCAAAAAUCGCUUUCAGAUUCCCUAAUUUCUCUUAUCAUCGUAUCCCUAAUUUCUUCAACAAAUCAUAGCUUCUGAUUGCGUUUUCAUCGUAGCUCAUAACUUCUCUCUCUCCCGUAGCUUCUCUGUAGCUGUGCUCUUCUUCCGCCUUCGUUCAUUUGAGCCAAGUAUUUUCAUUUGGGAACAACCAACGAAGUUACUUCAUCUCCUCUGUUGCGGUAAUAUUUUUCGGUUAGAUCGUGAUUUGAGAGUUAUAUACUGUUAAAGGUUUUGUUUAUUUCUAAGGGACUCAAUGUGUAUACUGUGAGUUACACUUUACUGGCUAAUGUUACAGUGUUCAAUUGUGCUGACAGUCAAUCGAGUGUUGCAUCCUCUUGUUGCCAUGCAUUCGCGAUAUCAUUAUGAGGGUACUGGAUUUGUUACCUCCCCUUGAAAGCUUUGGAAUGGAUCUUAUCAUUUUAACAUAACACAAUAUUAUCCUAGGAGACCUCCCUCGAUGGGCGCAAUAAUUUCCACAAGCUAAAAAAGAUUUUGACAGGAAGUUGAGGCAGAAGUGAAAGAAGCAGCUGUGAUAGCUAUGGGAACUGAAAUCGGUGAACUAGAUUUGUCAGAUAUUAGAGAGCUAUGACAGGGAACCAUUAUUAAUGCUUAGAGCUUUGAUGACAACAACCAUCUAUAUAACUCACCAGAGCUUGAGGAUUCAACCCUAGCUGCUCUGGGAUUCAUGGAUCAGUACUUGUCAUCACUAGACAUGGACAUGUUUCAAGGAGUUCAAAAUAGAAAGAUCACUAGGGAGAAAUCACCCCAUGUCUCAAGUGCAAGAGGAUCAUUAAGUCUGGCUAAGAAACUUAACGCUCGAACUCAAAAUAAAGAUAAAGACCCUUUCAAAUGGGCUGAAAGUGAUCAAAGUAAAAAAGAAGCUUUGAAGAGCCAUUGUGAGGCAGUGAGGAGGAGAAUGAGCAAGGAUUCAGGGUCAGGGUGUUGCUGUUAAGGUUAUCCAAAAAGUUAAGGAAGGAAAAUGAUGAGGCUCAGGAGAUUAUACAGUGAGAUGUUGUAAAUUGUCACAAAUUUUAUCCUAGUUUUAAGCAUGAAACAUAGUUGAGAGUUGAUUUUGUAAUGUUUUGUAUAAAUAGCAUAUUAUUCUUUAAUUAGAGUUGGUCCCUAUUUGUACCAAUAUCUAGAACAUAAUUUCGCUGUUAAAUUUUUUUUUUCA